GAUGAACGCUAGCUACAGGCUUAACACAUGCAAGUCGAGGGGCAGCAUGGAGUCAGCUUGCUGACUUUGAUGGCGACCGGCGCACGGGUGAGUAACGCGUAUCCAACCUUCCCCAUAGUAGAGAAUAGCCCGGCGAAAGUCGGAUUAAUACUCUAUGUUCUUUCUGGAUGGCAUCUGAUGGAAAGCAAAGGUUCACCGCUAAGGGAUGGGGAUGCGUCUGAUUAGGUUGUUGGCGGGGUAACGGCCCACCAAGCCGACGAUCAGUAGGGGUUCUGAGAGGAAGGUCCCCCACAUUGGUACUGAGACACGGACCAAACUCC
rnacentral:rRNA from 1 species